CCUACGGGAGGCAGCAGUAGGGAAUAUUGCUCAAUGGGGGAAACCCUGAAGCAGCAACGCCGCGUGGAGGAUGAAGGUUUUCGGAUUGUAAACUCCUUUUGUUAGAGAAGAUAAUGACGGUAUCUAACGAAUAAGCACCGGCUAACUCCGUGCCAGCAGCCGCGGUAAUACGGAGGGUGCAAGCGUUACUCGGAAUCACUGGGCGUAAAGAGCGCGUAGGCGGGAUAGCAAGUCAGAUGUGAAAUCCUAUGGCUUAACCAUAGAACUGCAUUUGAAACUGUUAUUCUAGAGUAUGGGAGAGGUAGGGGGAAUGCGUGGUGUAGGGGUAAAAUGCGUAGAGAUCAAGAGGAAUACUCAUUGCGAAGGCGACCUGCUAGAACAUAACUGACGCUGAUGCGCGAAAGCGUGGGGAGCAAACAGGAUUAGAUACCCCGGUAGUC
rnacentral:rRNA from 1 species